UAGGGAAUCUUCCGCAAUGGACGCAAGUCUGACGGAGCAACGCCGCGUGAGUGAAGAAUGAUUUCGGUUCGUAAAACUCUGUUGUUAGAGAAGAACAGCGCAGAGAGUAACUGUUAUGCGUGUGACGGUAUCUAACCAGAAAGCCACGGCUAACUACGUGCCAGCAGCCGCGGUAAUACGUAGGUGGCAAGCGUUGUCCGGAUUUAUUGGGCGUAAAGCGAGCGCAGGCGGUCAAUUAAGUCUGAUGUGAAAGCCCCCGGCUCAACCGGGGAGGGUCAUUGGAAACUGGUUGACUUGAGUGCAGAAGAGGAGAGUGGAAUUCCAUGUGUAGCGGUGAAAUGCGUAGAUAUAUGGAGGAACACCAGUGGCGAAGGCGACUCUCUGGUCUGUAACUGACGCUGAGGUUAGAAAGCGUGGGUAGCAAACAGG
rnacentral:rRNA from 1 species